AAGGGCCUGGGUUGGAUCCCCAGCUUCAAAAACAAGAAGCACACUAAAGUUUCCCAAAAUGUGUUUCAUAGAACACUGAGGCUUUUUCACAGGUGUUGCAUGGGACACUGAAGUGCAAGCAUGGCCAUCAUCCCUCACCCCUUCCUGUGUCUCGUCCUUUGCAAUGUGACUUUGCAGGUUCUCCGACCAAGGGGCGGAGUCUGUUUCUCCUUCCUGGACUGGGCUUCAGGUUUGCUUUGAUAACUAGAAUGCAGCAGGACGAGCACCUGUGCCAGCCCAAGUUGGUGUCUCAAGAGCUUUUGCACCCUUCCACGUGCUCUCCCAACUUCUCCAGAAUCAUUAGCGUUGAACCAGCGGUGAACCAUUCCCACGCAAGCUGUCCUGAAUCACCAGACCCCUGCCCGCCUGGCAGGUAUCCACUGACCUGUGAGCGAGUUCAGCUGAGAUGAGAACCAUCCACCUGAGCCCAGCCCCAACUGAUGAUGUUUAGGAUCAUGAGCUAAAUAAAUGUUCUCAUUUUAAAAUGUCACUCUAUUUUAUUAUUCAUCAAAAACUGAUAUUCCAGAAAGAAAAAAUUUCUAUGGACGAAUACGUAUGGAAAAUGUUGAAUUAGAUAAAAG
rnacentral:lncRNA from 1 species